CAAAAACAAACUUGUCUGUCAACUAUUACUGUACAUAAUAGGAAAAAAGGCUUUGUUGUUGGGACAUAUUUUACGAUCUGCACACAUGGGCAACUGUAGCUUACUUUCAUAAAAUUGGCCUGAAUCAAGAAAUGGCUAAGAGAUAGCCUUGCAGGUGACAAGAAGGAUUUUCAGAUUUGGGGAAAGCAUGUAAUAUUUUAUCAUUGUUGGACCUGCCACACCAGCUCCUUGAGUCCUGCCUCCUGGCCUGUUAUCAUUGUUAACAGGUUGGGCACCAAAUGGGUGUAGCAACGACCAGAGGAAUGUCAUCAGCUGUAUGGCAACACGCUCAACAGGAAGUGUCAUCGACCAACCAACACGUGAUACACAGUACUGGAUGAUAUCCACAGGAAGACUGGGCUGAAGUUGGUGGGCUCCACAGAAUGUCUCCAACGGCAACUGGUGACAGAGAUGACCGCAGUGUCUCAGUAGUUGCUAGGGAGCUGGUCCUGGUUUGCCUGGUUGCUAGGUCAUGCGGUGCCGGAGUGAAUACACAUUUCACACUUGUAGUCCCUCGAGUUACUUCAGCCCUGCUUUGUCAUUUGUCUCAUUUGAUGCAGAGGCCCAUUUGUUCCUUUACUGAAACAUUGAAAUUAUUUUACAUUGAAUUAAGGUGUUCCCUUACUAAACAGAAUAACAGUAAAGCUGAUAUUGAGAUCUUUCCCAAGAGUCGACGUGCGGAAACAGCGUCCUCGACAUGCUGUAAUUUUGAAUGUGCUCUAAAUUACCUCCUACUGUAGGUGAUGAGAUUAUUAUUGUCAGAAUGACACAUAACUACAUGGGGGUUAACAGUUGGUUGGUGAAUGACUUUCAAGUGGGAUGAAAUCUUCAUCACAAAAAGAGGUUUUACAAAUGUAAAAUGAAUAAAUCUCCGGGUGCAUGUCAGUGCGGGGUGGCGAAGGGGUUCCCAUUGCCUCUAAGUAAUUAUUUCUUAGGAAGAUCUUUUAAUAAGAGUGUGUUUCAGAGUUACCAUGGCAACAAGGGCUUUCCUGCUCCUCUCAUCGGCUUGCACAGUGUUUGCUGUAUAAGACACGAUGUUAAGCGAUUUCACCCUUUCAGCAGUUGCUCCUCAGCAUCAUGUUGUGAAUUAGAUAUUUAUUGAUUCAGCCUGAACUACUUUCUCAUCUAAAGAAGAACACUGGGAACUACAUAAAAUUCACUACGAUGUCACACAAUAAGCAGCUAUGUUAUUGGAUGAGAAAACAUGGUAAAUGACUUGAAUGAAUGGUUAUUGUUCUUGCUGCGUGGCAUCAUGGCAUGGGAAGAGUCACUGGGAAGGAUGUAAUAUUCAUUUAAAUAGUUACUGUAAAUUGCUUUCAAAAUUUAACAUGGUGGAUAUUCAGACACUGCAUGAUCAUUAGGGAGUGGUUCAUACGUGAGACGGCAUUUAAUGCUCACCUUCUCACUAAGCUGUCAUAAGUGAAGUGAAUCAUCAUAAUGAAUAGCUUUUUGUUGGCGCAUGGUCACUUUUUUAUGCCCACUAUCUAUCAACUACGAUACUAUUAAUCUGCUGGUUGUGCGUUUAUUGGCAUAGAAACCGGAUUCCUUUUUUAACAUCCUGAGAUCAUCUCCCAUUUCAACAGGCUGCAAAAGUGCUGCUUUGGUUUGAAGUUUGCUGCCUUCAUAUUGUUUUGUCACUCAAAAAUUUGGUAACACUUUAUAAUAACUAUCCGUUUUACUAGUUAAUAGAUCAUUAGUAAACUGUUGAUAAAUGAUUUAUUGUUGAAUUGUGAAGUAUUUGUUAACAGUUUGUUAAGCAUUUACAGGGUGUUCCAAUAUGGUUGACCCCAUUCUAAAUGCCCAUGCUAGUUGAUGGAUCUUAAUAAAACCACAUACACUUUAUGUUGAAGGUCAUAAUUUUUAUUUGUUAAAUAUACAAAGAAAAGUACAAAUAUUUGUUGGUUCUAUGGCAGAUUUUUUCAUAAAUGUGAAACAUGAGCGCUGCCUGCAAAAUGCCUUAUCAAAAUGCCUUUUCUUUUGAAGUGAACGGCAUUUCUUAACCUGAAAAGAUAGAAAUGCCAAACGGUACACAUAAAAACUUGAAACGUUUCUACACAAACUGUGUUUCAGGUUAAGA